UACGUAGGGGGCAAGCGUUGUCCGGAAUCAUUGGGCGUAAAGCGCGCGUAGGUGGUUCAGCAAGUUGGAUGUGAAAGCCCCGGGCUCAACCUGGGAACUGCAUCCAAAACUACUGGGCUAGAGUACGGUAGAGGGUGGUGGAAUUUCCUGUGUAGCGGUGAAAUGCGUAGAUAUAGGAAGGAACACCAGUGGCGAAGGCGACCACCUGGACUGAUACUGACACUGAGGUGCGAAAGCGUGGGGAGCAAACAGG
rnacentral:rRNA from 1 species